UGGGGAAUAUUGCACAAUGGGCGCAAGCCUGAUGCAGCCAUGCCGCGUGUAUGAAGAAGGCCUUCGGGUUGUAAAGUACUUUCAGCGGGGAGGAAGGCGAUAAGGUUAAUAACCUUGUCGAUUGACGUUACCCGCAGAAGAAGCACCGGCUAACUCCGUGCCAGCAGCCGCGGUAAUACGGAGUGUGCAAGCGUUAAUCGGAAUUACUGGGCGUAAAGCGCACGCAGGCGGUCUGUCAAGUCGGAUGUGAAAUCCCCGGGCUCAACCUGGGAACUGCAUUCGAAACUGGCAGGCUAGAGUCUUGUAGAGGGGGGUAGAAUUCCAGGUGUAGCGGUGAAAUGCGUAGAGAUCUGGAGGAAUACCGGUGGCGAAGGCGGCCCCCUGGACAAAGACUGACGCUCAGGUGCGAAAGCGUGGGGAGCAAACA
rnacentral:rRNA from 1 species